rnacentral:rRNA from 1 species
UACGUAGGGGGCAAGCGUUGUCCGGAAUCAUUGGGCGUAAAGCGCGUGUAGGCGGCUGAGUAAGUCUGCUCUGAAAGCCCGGGGCUCAACCCCGGGAGGCGGGUGGAUACUGCUCAGCUCGAGUCCGGAAGAGGCGAGUGGAAUUCCUGGUGUAGCGGUGAAAUGCGCAGAUAUCAGGAGGAACACCAAUGGCGAAGGCAGCUCGCUGGGACGGUACUGACGCUGAGGAGCGAAAGCGUGGGGAGCGAACAGG